AGACCAUGGUAUGAACACUGUCUUUGCAAUUCUUUAAAACUUUCCCGCGCUUUAUAUAAAGAUUCACCAUCAAUUUUAACAAAACUAGUAAUAUCAUUCUUGAGUUU